rnacentral:rRNA from 1 species
UACAGAGGUCCCAAGCGUUGUUCGGAUUCACUGGGCGUAAAGGGUGCGUAGGCGGUUGGGUAAGUCUGAUGCGAAAUCUGACAGCUUAACUGUGAAACUGCAUUGGAUACUAUCCGGCUAGAGGAAUGGAGGGGAGACUGGAAUACUUGGUGUAGCAGUGAAAUGCGUAGAUAUCAAGUGGAACACCAGUGGCGAAGGCGAGUCUCUGGACAUUUCCUGACGCUGAGGCACGAAAGCCAGGGGAGCAAACGGG